rnacentral:misc_RNA from 1 species
CCGAGUUCAUGGGCGUUCUAACCGGACCCCAAGCUCCCACCCUUUGUGUACCGUACCUUGUUGCUUUGGCGGGCCUGCGCGCCUUGAAAAGGCGCGCUGCUGGCCCUGCUGGCUUGCGCCCGCCAGAGGCUCAUCAAACUCCCGUUUUUAUCAGUGCCGUCUGAGUACAAACCUAACAAGUUUA